AAUAGAUACCCAGGUAGUCCACGCCGUAAACGAUGUCGACUUGGAGGUUGUUCCCUUGAGGAGUGGCUUCCGGAGCUAACGCGUUAAGUCGACCGCCUGGGGAGUACGGCCGCAAGGUUAAAACUCAAAUGAAUUGACGGGGGCCCGCACAAGCGGUGGAGCAUGUGGUUUAAUUCGAUGCAACGCGAAGAACCUUACCUACUCUUGACAUCCAGAGAACUUAGCAGAGAUGCUUUGGUGCCUUCGGGAACUCUGAGACAGGUGCUGCAUGGCUGUCGUCAGCUCGUGUUGUGAAAUGUUGGGUUAAGUCCCGCAACGAGCGCAACCCUUAUCCUUUGUUGCCAGCGGUUCGGCCGGGAACUCAAAGGAGACUGCCAGUGAUAAACUGGAGGAAGGUGGGGAUGACGUCAAGUCAUCAUGGCCCUUACGAGUAGGGCUACACACGUGCUACAAUGGCGUAUACAAAGAGAAGCGACCUCGCGAGAGCAAGCGGACCUCAUAAAGUACGUCGUAGUCCGGAUUGGAGU
rnacentral:rRNA from 1 species